AUUGAACGCUGGCGGCAUGCCUUACACAUGCAAGUCGAACGGCAGCGGGGACUUCGGUCCGCCGGCGAGUGGCGAACGGGUGAGUAAUGUAUCGGAACGUACCAUUCAGUGGGGGAUAACUAUCCGAAAGGAUAGCUAAUACCGCAUAUUCUGUGAGCAGGAAAGCAGGGGAUCGCAAGACCUUGCGCUGAUUGAGCGGCCGCUAUCAAAUUAGCGAGUUGGUGAGGUAACGGCUCACCAAGGCUACGAUCUGUAGCGGGGCUGAGAGGAUGAUCCGCCACACUGGGACUGAGACACGGCCCAGACUCCUACGGGAGGCAGCAGUGGGGAAUUUUGGACAAUGGGCGCAAGCCUGAUCCAGCCAUGCCGCGUGAGUGAAGAAGGCCUUCGGGUUGUAAAGCUCUUUCGGCCGGGAAGAAAUCGCAUCAGCUAAUACCUGGUGUGGAUGACGGUACCGGGAUAAGAAGCACCGGCUAACUACGUGCCAGCCGCCGCGGUAACAC
rnacentral:rRNA from 1 species